GGGGGGGAAGGGGACGCAAACAUUUAAGAAGUGCACGGACAGAUGCAGGUUUCCAUCUGCCCCACAGCACACUGCAAUUGCUACAGUGAGUGUCAAAGGUACAUCUGUCCAUCCUCUCAAGUUCAACAGUUUGCCUUUCUCUUAAAACUGAACUCUGUCUCAAAGGCUUUACGUCCACAAACAGCACAAAAGCACCGGACAUCACAGAGCCAGCCUGAGGCCAGGUGGUCUGCUUUGCUCCCCAACUCUGGCUUUUUCCCUACUUCUCAUCUUUGUAAUACCAGCCAAUCAAGCAUGUUUUACUUUCUUAAAAGAAUUAGUUUUCAGCUACCUUUUGCUGCUGCGUGAAGAGCUCUCCCAUCAGUUACUUGUCACGUUGAAGGCCAAAGCUAUCCAGUCAGGUUUGGUUCCUCCUAGUGUGACAUGUCAGUGCUGUUUGGUCAAUUACCUCCGUUCACCAGGUCCCUGUAAGUCACGGUACAAAGCUGGAUUACUCUCCCUUCCAUCAGCCUGUCUACACGUUCUGAACAAUUUUUGCUGCCCAGCUGCAGACUUCUUGACUGCCAACUAAUCUAAUCCCUGAAUAUUUAGCUGGAAAAAGUUUACCGAAAAGAUUACCUAAGUUUGGAAAAACCACUAAGUUAUGAGGUAAAUCUAUGCAAGUAUCAAAGUUAAACACUUUGUAAAUACCUACACACACACACACACACACACACACACACACACACACACACACACCUACAGACGUGUGUGAUAGGCUGAACUGUGGUCCCCCCAUAAUUCAUAUUCGACAGGCCUAGUCCCCAGUCUCUCAGAAUGUGACCAUAUUUGGAGACGGCCUUUAAAAAAGUAAUCUAAGUUAAAAUGAGCCCAUUAGGGAGUUUCCAUUGUGGCUCAGUAGUAAUGAACCCAAUUAGUACCCGUAAGGAUGUGGGUUCCAUCCCUGGCCUCAGUGGGUUGGGGAUCUGGUGGUGCUUUGAGCUGUGGUGUAGGUUGCAGAAGUGGGUCGGAUCCUAUGUUGCUGUGGUGCAGGCCAGUAGCUGUAGCUCCAAUUCGGCCCCUAGCCUGAGAACUUCCAAAUGCUACACCUGGGGCCCUAGAAAAAAGCAAAAGAAUAAAAUAAUGAGC
rnacentral:lncRNA from 1 species